AGUGAACGCUGGCGGUAGGCCUAACACAUGCAAGUCGAACGGCAGCACAGUAAGAGCUUGCUCUUACGGGUGGCGAGUGGCGGACGGGUGAGGAAUACAUCGGAAUCUACUUUUUCGUGGGGGAUAACGUAGGGAAACUUACGCUAAUACCGCAUACGACCUACGGGUGAAAGCAGGGGAUCUUCGGACCUUGCGCGAUUGAAUGAGCCGAUGUCGGAUUAGCUAGUUGGCGGGGUAAAGGCCCACCAAGGCGACGAUCCGUAGCUGGUCUGAGAGGAUGAUCAGCAAACGUGGAAAUGGGACAGGGGCCAGACCCCUCGGGGGGGCAGAAGGGGGGAAUUUGGGCAAAGGGGCGAAAGCCUGCCCCAGCCAUCCCGGGGGGGGAAAAAAGGCCUUCGGGUUGUAAAGCCCUUUUGUUGGGAAAAAAAAGCAGCAGGUUAAAACCCCGCUUUUCUGGCGGUACCAAAAAAAUAAGCACCGGCUAACUUCGU
rnacentral:rRNA from 1 species